CAAAGAAUAGUUUAUAAAAAUAGUAAUUUUGGAGAUUAUCGAUAAAGAAUUUUCUUUUUCUUUGA
rnacentral:tRNA from 1 species